CUCCGGCCCGAAGUCUACAAGCAAUUUCUGAUUUGUGUGGUUGAUAAAGGGCUGUGCUUUGUACCCUAGACCACACUCAGAGAAACGAGCAAAGUGGUUAGAUAUUUCACAGGAGGGGACAAAUGCAAAAAGAUGACCAACAAGAUGGCAUUUCAUGGGUGAAUGAAAGAUGCCAGUGUCCUGACUUUAAGUAUUGUAUGAUCAAAAUUUUGCUUUGAAAGAAGUGGAGGUUGUUAAAUCCCUAUUUAGAGAACUAAUUUGAAAAUACUUUCUCCCACCCCCCGCCUUCUUUUCCUGCAUGCCUUUUUAUUGUAAGCAAGCACCCAAAACAUCACAGAGGUUUGUGAUUUCUUCACAAGAAAUAGCUUGACCUAUAUAUAAGUAUAAAAUCCCAGCAGGUCCUGACUCCCUGAGAGUAGAACCACAGCACAUUUCCCUGAGAUAAAAUGCCAUAAAAUCCUGUUGGUUUUUGUUUUGGUUUGUUUUGCUGUUUUCGUUUUCUUUGUGUUUUUUCCAGGAACGCUUGAGUCCUCAAGGGGACAGAACUUACCAGUAGGAAGAAAAAAUCAUGCAGGUGCCGUUACCUGUGACAAAAAAACAAAGGAAAGAAGGAAUUGGAGGGAACAAAUGGUAAGUUUGUGUCGUUACUCUUCAGUACAACAGGAAUGAGUGCAGAAUUGAUGUUGCCAGAGUGGUUUCCUUCAGAGAACCCAGCACUAAUGCCCUGUGAUGGAGAUGAUGAUGAAGACACAGAGGAAGAAGAGGUGGAUGGAUAUCUUUGAACAAAUGGGAAUAUUUCAGCUAGGACACAGGAAAGGAGAGAUCACAGUGUAACUGCUUGACCUUGAAGAUACUGCCGUAGGCUGAAGAGGACCCUGUAAGAUACUUGGCAGCCACUUCUCUCCUUCAACAUCCUAGAUCUGGUUGGAGAUGGCUGCCGGGAAGCUGGGAAAGCAUGCUGUAUACCUGCUGUUCACGCAACAAAGGAGACACUUUCAGAGCAGAAAGCUUUUCCAGCUCCUGGCCAUGCGUGAUUAGAUCUGCUGUAUAUUCAUGUACAUCUGUGUAUCUGUAUUCUAAUGUAUGCCUGCAUUGGUGCUGGUCUCAGCUCAGACAUAACCUUUCAGCUAAAUAUACUCCAGUCAGCUACUGAAGAACAGCAAGAAUAAAUUCUGUGGGUAGUGAAGAAGUCGGGUGUUUUCUAGGGAAGAGCCUGUUUGUCCGGCAAAACCUCAGGAUACUGAAGAGUGAGGCUGGGAGAAACCUUAUCUUUUGGAGCUGGCCUGAAAUAUAUAGGCCUCUGUUAUAUCAUGUAUGCAAAACGAGUAUAUAAAAUGAAAGUGUACAGUUUAAAAAAUAAUCAUAAAUGGACACUCGUGUCUACCACCCCGCUUAAGGAAUAGAGCAUUUCUAGCCCCUUAGAAGCCGCUGUGUGACCAUUUCUGAAUGCAUUUGCCUCCCAGGCCCCCCCUUGGAAACUACUUUCCUGAAUUUGGUCUUCCUUUAUAGUUUUAAUGCCUGUGUAUGUAUAACUGAACAGUAUGGUGUUUAAUUUUGUCUGCUUCUGAACUAUAUAUGGAAGGAAUCUUUGGUGACUUGCUUUUUUUGCUCAACAUUAUCUUCUCUCAUCCUGUCCCUUCCUUCCUCUUUCCAUUGCAAACCUCCACAGCUCCCCUCUUGGAUUCUUGUGUUUAUCUCCUGACCAGACUCUCUGUUGACAGAUUCUUCCCUCUAGAAUUCAUUGUGCAAACCACCACCAA